AGAGUUUGAUCAUGGCUCAGGAUGAACGCUAGCUACAGGCUUAACACAUGCAAGUCGAGGGGAAACGACAUCGAAAGCUUGCUUUUGAUGGGCGUCGACCGGCGCACGGGUGAGUAACGCGUAUCCAACCUGCCCACCACUUGGGGAUAACCUUGCGAAAGUAAGACUAAUACCCAAUGACGUCUUUAGAAGACAUCUGAAGGAGAUUAAAGAUUUAUCGGUGAUGGAUGGGGAUGCGUCUGAUUAGCUUGUUGGCGGGUAACGGCCCACCAAGGCGACGAUCGAGUAGGGGUUCUGAGAGGAAGGUCCCCCACGAUUGGAACUGAGACCAGGUCCAAACGUCCUACGGGAGGCA
rnacentral:rRNA from 1 species